rnacentral:rRNA from 1 species
AUUGAACGCUGGCGGCAUGCUUUACACAUGCAAGUCGAACGGUAACAGGGAGCUUGCUCCGCUGACGAGUGGCGAACGGGUGAGUAAUGCAUCGGAACGUACCCAGUCGUGGGGGAUAACGUAGCGAAAGUUACGCUAAUACCGCAUACGUCCUGAGGGAGAAAGCGGGGGACCGUAAGGCCUCGCGCGAUUGGAGCGGCCGAUGUCGGGUUAGCUAGUUGGUAGGGUAAAGGCCUACCAAGGCGACGAUCCGUAGCGGGUCUGAGAGGAUGAUCCGCCACACUGGGACUGAGACACGGCCCAGACUCCUACGGGAGGCAGCAGUGGGGAAUUUUGGACAAUGGGCGAAAGCCUGAUCCAGCCAUGCCGCGUGAGUGAAGAAGGCC